UGUGGGAGCUGCGUAGCUGGCUGCCUUCACUGCUCUGGCCAUCACUGCUCGGGAGCCUGGUGCCUCUGGGAGUAGCCCCUGAGCACUGUCUCCUUGGCCGCCUUUCCCCACCCCUCUUCCUGUUCCUCUCCUGGUUUGCACAACAUGAAAAACUUUUUGUACCUCAGAAUUUUCAAGACCAGUUUAAUUCUGCUCUCUCCCUAAAUACUACAAACUCUUUCCCCCUAGAAAGGGAUCAAGGGAGAUUUCCACUUUUUUGUUUCUUCUAGACUUAGAAACCAGACAAGAAAUCAGCCCUUCUGCCCCAAAGGAAAGCACCCCAGAAGAGCUGUGCAGCAGUGUUGUUCUGGUGCAGACUCCUGUGGGGUAGUGUGUGGCCCUUCCAGGGGAGGACACCGCAGGUCCCUGGGAGUGGAGUCCUGAGAGGCGCGAGCCGGGAGACGUGGCAGCCCUCAAGCCUGGGCAGGAGCAGUGGGGGAAUGGGUCUGGGGGAGCCUUGAGUCCUAGCCCUGAUCUCCCAGCUCAUCCAGCGACUCCUGAACAGCCAGGUCCCCACACGUGGAGAACACCCAGAAAGAGGCAGAAGCUGGACUCAAAGGUAAAUGCACAACAGAAAAUCCUUGCAAAAGAGAAACUGCAGAUGCCGGGAAUGUGAAGAGCCUGGCCAGUGUCGCCGGUGUGGAAAAGGCUUCCGGAACAGCUCUGCGCUCACCAAGCACUGCAGGGUCCCCCCCGGGAAGAAGCCCUAUCGGUGCCCUCGGUGUGGCCGGACCUUCAACCAGAUGGCCCCGCUGACCCAGCACAGGAGGACGCACGGGGCGCCAAGCCCCACGCGUGCGGGGACCGUGGGAAGGCUUCGGUUUCAGCCGGUCCCUGUCCCAGCACCAGCGAGAGGCUCCUCCCGGACCCAGCGCCAGCGCGCGCACUCGGGCCACAAGCCCUACGCCUGCCGCAAGUGCGGCAAGACCUUCAGCCGGGCCACCCAACGUGUCCAGCACCAGGGGGUCCACCGCGGGAGAGGCCGACGAAUGCAGCCAGUGCGGGCGGCAGCGCCUUCAGCCAGGGCCACCGUCUCGGCGGGCACCGCAGGACCCGCCGGGGGGAAGCCCGAGGCGUGCUGCGGCCACCUCCUCCCCGGAGAAGCCCUGCGCCUGCGGGGACUGAGGGAAGGCCUUCGCCCACAGCUCCUCCCCGACCCAGCACCCAGAACCCUCACUGGGGAGACGGCUGCAUGGGUGCUGGGGACAGGGGAGCCCUGAAGCCACAGCUCGUCCCACUCAGACUCGGCCUGUUCCUUCUCAAGGAAGAUGCAGCACCCACCCCACGUUCUCAGACGGAAAUGCCUAGCGCCACCAAGGUUCAGGUUCUAAACAGCAGGGAAAGGUGGAAACCGUCAACCUUGAGGACCCGAGCCUCGAGGAGAGAGAAACAAGGGAUGUCUGGGCCUGGUGAUGCCGCGCGCCCACGCGUUCAACAGACUGAACCCGAGAUUCAAAGGCCUGAGAAAUUCAACAGAUACCUUUCAGUUGUUUGCAGUGCUGGGGGUGGAACCCAAGACUUCAUGAAUAUUAAACAAGGACUCUACCGGUGGGCUGCAUGCAUCCCCAGUCCUUCACUGUCCUUUAAAAGCUGCAAAAGACUGCCAACAGAACCACUGCAAGCUAUCUGGGUAACCGUAUUAAAAUAUUCUGGUCCCAUUCCAAAAGCAAGAAGUGGGCACAAUGUGCACACCUGUAAUUCCAGUUACUGAGGCGGCUGAGGCAGGGCGAUCAAAGUUUGUGACCAGCUUUGGCAACUUGAUAAGACUGUCUCAAAAAUUAAUCAAAGGGUUGAGGAUGUAGCUCUGUGAUAGAGCACCCCUGGGUUCCAUCAAAAAAAGAAAAAUAGAAAUAGAUAAAAUUAGCUCAAUAUGUACCCCCUACAUGCACCACAUUCCCAUUCUGACGUGUCAGUAUUAAAACACUGAGAUACUUUACUUCUCUAGUGUGUACUUAUACUCAGUGCCUCCGAGUUCACUAGCCACACUUCAGGUGCUCCCUUCACAUGUGGCUGGCCAGUGGCAGCAUGGUGACUUAGGACCUCUGGUCAGCUUCUUGACCUUCCCUUUGUGAUGGGAAGCCUUGCUUUCUCUGAGUUGAUUAGUACCUCGAUAAGUUGCUGAGGCUGGCCAUCUUCCUGCCUCAGCCUCCCGAGGGACUGGGGUUACAGGUGUGCGUGGGCCCGUCUUCAAAGAAGGCAGAUGUGCUGGGUGUGUUGGUGCUCAGGAGACUGAGGCAGAAGGAUCAUGAAUUCAAAGCCAGCCUCAGCAAGGCUGAGUGGCAAUGAGGGUUGGAAGAGUCUAUUUAGGCUUUUUUUAUUGCCAGAACCACACUUGGUUUGAGGACAGGCAGAGGGGAAUGUGGCUCCGUAACUGGUAGAGAUGGGUACCUGGGCCCUUACGAGUGAGGGGCCCAC